UUGUAUCUUUUGUAAUUGUUUAAAUCCCUCAAAAUUUUAAAUGAGUAUUGAAUAUAUUUUGUGUUUUUCCAAAUAUAAGAUUCUAUAAAGAAGAGAAUGAUGUAAGUGACCCGGGGGCAAUGGGGGGAGCUUAAAUUUGAAACUAGAAAAAAUUUUGAACAAAAUAAUCAUAAUUGUUAGCUGAUGAAAAACUAGAAAAUAUUUUCUGAGUAAAUUCUUGAUUUCAGAAAUUAACUAUAAUUUAUAUUGCUCUUAAUAUCUUACCCUUGAAUAUAAAUGAUUAAUGCCCUUUAAAAUGUCCUUUUUUCUAGCUAACCUGAUGUACAUAUGACAUUAAUCCAAUAGACUUAGGAAUAAGAUACAGGGGGUUUUCCUGAAUGAUUCGAGUAUAUCCCCAUUCAUAUUAAGAAAACAAAGUAUUGGCCAAGCGUGGUGGCUCACGCCUGUAAUCCCGGCACUUUGGAAGGCCGAGGCCAGUGGAUCACCUGAGAUGGACUCAACGACUCUCUUACCGUCCAGCUCUCAAGUCCCUUCUCUUGUGAAAAUGGAAAAGUUGAACUACAGUUGAGAUAUUAUUCCCAGGUGUUCUUUGGAACACAGGGGAUUUCUCCAAAAGGCACAGAACAAAUUGCCUCCAAACAGCCAAGAUUCCAGCAGAAGCUGGAGUAGCAGACUACUUGGAUCUUCAAAGUACCUGGCCCUGAGUCAGUUAAGGAAGAUCUUUUCUUCUCUUUUGUACAAUCCUAUGAUGAGAGCUGCAAAGUGAACUGACUAAGAGCUUCUGCCUUGAUCAUUGACCUCCCAAUCCUAAUAAUAUGUUCACUGGCCAAACUUCCUAAUCGAUUUGUCUUUUGGAUAUAACGUUCCUCCUACUGUUUGCCUGAUUGAGAAAUCUGCUACAGAACAUGACCGGUUAGCAUUCCCACCAACCCCAGUGCUACACUGACUGUCUUUCGAUGGACUUUGCUCCUUGCUGCCUCUCUGAGGUCCCAGACCUUCAGAGUGACCUUCACAGCUCUGCCUAACUUUCUGUCAUACUUCUAUCAAGAGAGACAGCUAAAUCAAUAUUUUUAAUGUGCUUUGCUGUCGGAAUUCGAUGAUCUGUCACAGUUCUUGCCCAAUACACCCCAUCAUUAUUGUUAAAAUGUUUUUAGCUUUGUUUGUAGAAUUGCUUUAACUGGUUUCAUCUCUGGGAGCUACACUUUGAAAUAUAACUUUAGCAACA
rnacentral:lncRNA from 1 species